ensembl:lncRNA
CUUUCCCCCGUCAGGGCCAGGCAGGCCCUAGAUCCCUCCGAGACCGACUGAGCGAGUACCUCCUUCCUGCCCUGCUAGUGAUCCGACCCCGGAGGGUCGUCGGACAGCCUCUCGCCCAUCUAUUAGAGUUGGAGGGAAAUCGUCACUGGACGUUCCCUGGACACAGUAUUUUCAGGGAGCCUCCUCCACGAAAAUAUACCUAGUAUUCCUAGGGUUUAGCACAGAAUACGCGCUUCGUUGUAAAUGCUUAUUGAUUGCCCCGACUUCAAGUCUAUUCCAACCUCCUAAUUUUAUAAAGGGAUACCUGGAUGGUUCCGAGAUAACUGAUCUAUCCGGGGUAGCGUUUUGAAGAUGCCACGCAUGGUGCUGGACAGUAGGGAUGCAAAGACAGACAAAAGACAGUUCCUCCUCCAAGAGCUUAAUGGGGGAAGCAACUUCGCAAACAGCUAUGGAAAAGCAAGAUAUGCCAAGGACAGAUGCUUUGUGAAAGUUUGCUAGAGUGAGCCAGAGCUCUCAUUGCAGACACAGCCUGGACUUACCCCGUCUUUUACAGAGCUAAAGCUUAGCCUCCAACCCAUGAAGAGGGCAGAUUUCCUUAGGAUCCAGACACAACUGUUUAUACCAAAGAAAAGAAGGGACCUCUUUCUGUUUCUCCUAGCCUCUCAAGUGUUGUGUCAUGCCUCUUCUCAGAUAAUUGGUUUCACACACAUCCAUCAUGGAGGAAUUCAAACAGAAGUUAAAUGACCACUUAUAAGGCACAUGGAAGAGAGAAUGCCUCUUCAGGUUCAUCUUUUUGGAUUUGGUCCUAUGCUCCAUCUUGACUGCUGAGAUCUUUUAGAUUCUAUCAUUCAGGAUAUUUACUACCUCUCCUAGCUUUGUGUCAUCAACAAAUUUGGUAAGUAUACCAUUUAAGCCUUUAUUUAAGUUAUUGAUAAACAUAUUAAAGCUUAGCACACGGCUAAACAUAGAUCAUUGGAGUAUUCCUAUCAACUUGAUCAUAAAACUAUUUACUAUUUGAGUCUAUUCAUUCAAACAGAACUAAAACCAUCCAAUUUUUAUCCCUCCCACCACAAGAACCCCCAUCACUCUCAUUUCUCCCUCUCUUCCAAAAGAAUAGUAUGAGGGGGCAACUGGGUAGCUCAGUGGAUUGAGAGCCAGACCUAGAGAUGGGAGGUCCUAGGUUUAAAUCUGGCCUCAGACACUUCCCAGCUGUGUGACCCUGGGCAAGUCACUUAACUCCCAUUGCCUACCCUUACCACUCUUCUGCCUUGGAACCAAUACACAGUAUUGAUUCCAAGAUGGAAGGUAAGAGUUUAAAAAAAAAAGAAUAGUAGGAGACUGUUGGGAGUUUCCGUCUCUCUUUCUCUCUCCUGUUCUCUUUAUCACAUCCCCUUCCCAUCCAUCUCCCUCCCCAAUGGCACAGUAGAUAGAACUCUGGAGUCAGAUUCUAAAUUCAGCUUUGUGACCCUGGGCAAGCUUUGUCUGCUACAAUUUCCUUAUCUGUAAAAUAGCUAUAAUAACAUCUACUUCUCUGGGUUCUUAAGAGGAUCAAAUGAGAUAUUCAUAAAACUUUUUAUAAACCUCGAGGAACUAU